rnacentral:rRNA from 1 species
UGAGGAAUAUUGCGCAAUGGGGGCAACCCUGACGCAGCGACGCCGCGUGAGUGAGGAAGGCCUUCGGGUCGUAAAGCUCUGUCAAAGGGAACGAAGAGCAUGGUGGCUAAUACCUGCCAUGUUUGACGGUACCCUUAAAGGAAGCACCGACUACCUCCGUGCCAGCAGCCGCGGUAAUACGGAGGGUGCAAGCGUUGUUCGGAAUCACUGGGCGUAAAGGGCGCGUAGGCGGUUUGAUAAGUCAGAUGUGAAAGCCCACGGCUUAACUGUGGAAGUGCAUUUGAAACUGUCAGACGUGAGUAUCGGAGGGGAAAGAGGAAUUCCCGGUGUAGAGGUGAAAUUCGUAGAUAUCGGGAGGAAUACCGGUGGCGAAGGCGACUUUCUGGCUGAAUACUGACGCUGAGGCGCGAAAGCGUGGGGAGCAAACA